rnacentral:tRNA from 1 species
GGGCCCGUAGCUCAGCUGGAAGAGCGUCGGGCUUUUAACCCGAGGGUCCCGGGUUCGAGUCCCGGCGGGCCCG